UACACUCCUGCGGGAGGCAGCAGUGGGGAAUUUUGGACAAUGGGCGAAAGCCUGAUCCAGCAAUGCCGCGUGUGUGAAGAAGGCCUUCGGGUUGUAAAGCACUUUUGUCCGGAAAGAAAUCCUUGGCUCUAAUACAGUCGGGGGAUGACGGUACCGGAAGAAUAAGCACCGGCUAACUACGUGCCAGCAGCCGCGGUAAUACGUAGGGUGCGAGCGUUAAUCGGAAUUACUGGGCGUAAAGCGUGCGCAGGCGGUUUGCUAAGACCGAUGUGAAAUCCCCGGGCUCAACCUGGGAACUGCAUUGGUGACUGGCAGGCUAGAGUAUGGCAGAGGGGGGUAGAAUUCCACGUGUAGCAGUGAAAUGCGUAGAGAUGUGGAGGAAUACCGAUGGCGAAGGCAGCCCCCUGGGCCAAUACUGACGCUCAUGCACGAAAGCGUGGGGAGCAAACAGGAGUAGAAACCCUAGUAGUCCCAUG
rnacentral:rRNA from 1 species